UAUUGCACAAUGGGCGCAAGCCUGAUGCAGCGACGCCGCGUGAGGGAUGACGGCCUUCGGGUUGUAAACCUCUUUCAGUAGGGAAGAAGCGAAAGUGACGGUACCUGCAGAAGAAGCGCCGGCUAACUACGUGCCAGCCGCCGCGGUAAUACGUAGGGCGCAAGCGUUAUCCGGAAUUAUUGGGCGUAAAGAGCUCGUAGGCGGUUUGUCGCGUCUGCCGUGAAAGUCCGGGGCUCAACUCCGGAUCUGCGGUGGGUACGGGCAGACUAGAGUGAUGUAGGGGAGACUGGAAUUCCUGGUGUAGCGGUGAAAUGCGCAGAUAUCAGGAGGGACACCGAUGGCGAAGGCAGGUCUCUGGGCAUUAACUGACGCUGAGGAGCGAAAGCAUGGGGAGCGAACAG
rnacentral:rRNA from 1 species